UACAGAGGGUGCGAGCGUUAAUCGGAAUUACUGGGCGUAAAGCGUGCGUAGACGGCUAUCUAAGUCGGGUGUGAAAGCCCCGGGCUCAACCUGGGAAUUGCAUUCGAGACUGAAUAGCUAGGGUGCGGUAGAGGGGGAUGGAAUUCCGCGUGUAGCAGUGAAAUGCGUAGAUAUGCGGAGGAACACCGAUGGCGAAGGCAAUCCCCUGGACCUGUACUGACGCUCAUGCACGAAAGCGUGGGGAGCAAACAGG
rnacentral:rRNA from 1 species